rnacentral:misc_RNA from 1 species
CGAAUGGGUCCAAAGACUCUUAAACCUACCGUGCUCCCCUACGUGGAAAACAAGAAAGCCCUCCGGGGCAUAGGAAAUCUGAGAAGUUGAGAACUGCGCCCCGGCGCAUGACUAAAACAAAAAAUUA